UAAAUAAUUCUUAUGAAGGUCUGUUAAAAUAACCACUUUCUCCAUGCUUUUAUUUUGAUACUGUAUUUUGCCGUCAUGGGUCUUUUAUUUUGACGCAGGAAGUUUGAAUCUACAGUAGGUAACUUGACUUGAAGGAGAUCGCGCGAAAAGGUUAUUACGUGUAAUUACGGAAGGAAUUCAGGCUACAAACGGUUGCUCUGCAUAACAAUUUGUAGUAAUUAAUAAGUGCCUAGCUGGAAUGGGAACAAGGUAUUGUGUGUUUAAUUUGUUUAAGACUUUAUAUUACUUAAAAUGUGUUUAAAUGUGUUGUUGCUGUACAGCCGCGCUAAUGUUAUCUUCAUGGCGAUAGUUGUAUAUGUGUAAGAGCUAAUUAAUGUUAUUUAUCUGUCCUGUAGCUCUUACGGUGUUUAUGAAGAAAGAUGUGAAGAAAGGAAUAUUUAUGCUCAAAACAAGGCUGACGGCUGAACGUAAAUAAAGGCUUCUGAAACAUCUGUAAGCUUCACCAUUGUCCGGCUGGGGUUCGCUACAGUAAGAGCUUGACCCACAUCGAUUCGACGACUUUUUGCCGCCAUGACGGGUCACGACGGAGGGUCUUCACUGCAUGCCUGCUGCUGUUGCUGCUACAUCGCCCCAUGCUGUUCACAUGGAGUCAUCGAGCAGCACAUGUUCCUGCAUGUCAACGCAUGAUCCACUACAGCAAUCCGGGCAGCGGUCUCGUGGAUUCGGUGCAUUGGUCAAGUACAGUCGCAUUCAUUGACGCAGAACUGAGCAUUACCCAAUAUCAUAUGGUCUACGGUACUUCCAAUGAGGUGAGCUACACAUUAACAGCUUCUUGAACUGAACCAGAGAACAUUUAAUGCUCACCUGCUCAUCUGCAACGAAGGAACUGUUGAUACGUUUAUACAGACGGACACAUUCAUGUGGACUCUUUAUAAUUAAGGACAUUUAAAAAAAAUAAAAUAAAAAAAAAAAAAAAAAAAAAGGGGGAAAUUGAACUGCAUUUCAUGCUAUCUGAAAAUUUUGCUUAUAAUGUUAUUUACCUGAACAUUUACAGUUAUUUGAGUGUCUGCACAUUGAUGUAACUGCUAGUUAUUUUUGUACUGGGGUUCUGAUAUUCUAUGUUUAAACUGCUUAAGAGUUCGAUCUUAUCUGCUUCAGGGUUUUCAUCUGGCUUAAUAAUUCUGAGUUAGGAGUUGAUAAUGUCAAAGUCAGGUUAUGAUAGUGACACAGAGGAGCAAAUGGCUGGUUCUCAGCAUGAAGUUCAGGAUUUGCAGAGGGAGCUCCACUCAGUGGCAGACUCAUCAUGCCUGAAGGAAACGACUGAAGUGGUGGAAGAAGGUCAGAGUCAUCUCCAAGGUAAACUGGAUGACCCACCUGGAGGUCCCAGACGUUCCGAACGUGCACGGAACCCUACCGAGAAGAUGCGUGCACUACAAGCGGAGGAGGCCAAGAAAAUGGAGAAAGGGCUGCUCUCCAUGUACGAGCAAUGGAAACUCAAAAUACGAAAAGCAAGAGAUCAACUGAAGUCCUACAUGCCAGAUGAUGAGCUCUGGCCUCUCGUGGAAGAACUUAGGAAAAGUAAGGAAGACAUAAUGAACAUAUAUUCUGAAAUGCGAGAUCUUGCCACACCUUCCACUGAUAUCAGACGACGAGUCGAUACUUGUGAAUCAGUCACCACAGAAAUCAUUAUCAUUGCCCACAACAGAGCAAUAGAUGAUGAAGUUGAGUUUAACGAGAAGCAGGAAAGACAUCGCCUUCAUGAACUCCUCCACCGUGACUAUGCAAAGUCUGUCUAUGGAUCCGCCGCGUCCUUGACAAGUCAUAGCAAGUCUGACCAUCACUCCAUGACUUCCUCUAUGGCGGCCAAGCGUGCGGAUGCAGCAGCAGAACUAGCAGUGAAGGAAACCAAUUAUGAGAUGAUGAUAGCCGAAGAGAGACAAAGGGAAGUGAUUCGAGAGUUAGAGGAACAACAGAGGAUAGCUCUAGAGGCACAAAGGUAUGAGUUGGAGCGACUGCAGGCAGAGAAGGAAGUGCGAGCAGCUAAGGCCAAGCUGAAUGUGUACAAUAAGGAGACAGAACAUAAAGCUGCUGACUGCAUCAACAUUGAAAAGGAUAAGGAAGCAACGAACGUGCCUGUAACUGCCGUCUCGCCAUCCCAUGUUGCAACACCCUCUCAUAAAGACAUUUCCUCACUGGCUCAGGUCUUUCAAGACAGCAUAGCCUUGAAUAGGCUCCCUGUUCCAGAGCCAUUCGUCUUCAAUGGUGAUCCAAUACGAUUCACUGAAUGGAAAGCAUCGUUUUCUUCGCUCAUUGACCAAAGAGCUAUCACUCCAGCUGAAAAACUCUAUUAUUUGAAGAAGUAUGUUGCCGGCCCAGCACGCCAGGUGCUAGAUGGCACCUUUUUCCGAAACGAUGAUGAAGCCUACCAGGAUGCCUGGAACAAGCUCACUCGUCGCUUCGGCCAGCCCUUUGCCAUUCAGAGAGCAUUCAGAGAGAAGCUUACCAAUUGGCCUAGGAUACAACCUAAAGAUGCCGAGGGACUCAGAAACUUCUCUGAUUUUCUAAAUGCCUGUCAAGAUGCCAUGCCUCAUGUCAAGGGUCUCGACAUAUUAAACGACUGCGAGGAAAACCAGAAGCUUGUCUAUAAACUACCAGACUGGGCAGCUUCACGCUGGAACCGACAAGCCACACGAAGCCUGAACGAUAGGCAAGAAUUCCCAAGUUUCAAGGACUUUGCAAUAUUUGUGUCAACUGAAGCUGAGAUUGCCUGCAAUCCAAUUACGUCGCUUUAUGCUCUUCGCUCAUCAGACUCUAACGCUGAAAAGAGAAAUCUCAGAGACACAAAGACAAACCAGGCCAGUGUUUACACCACUCAAGCAGCUACGGACAUCUUCAACAAAGGGUCAGAACAGAGAAAAACAUGUAUUCUCUGUCAAGAUAAUAGACACCAGCUUCAUGCGUGUCCCAAGUUUACAGAAAUGUUGUUGGUAGAGCGACGGAACUAUGUAAAGGAGAAGAAACUCUGCUACGGAUGCCUAAAAUUCGGCCACAGCGCAAAAAGCUGUCGUCAUCGCCACUGUUGCGACAACUGUAAAGGAAAACAUCCGACGGCCCUCCACGAUUACAACUAUGGGAAGGAGAAGUCUUCAUCAGAAGCAGCGACAAAUCAAAGAGCUGCUGCAACGUCGCUCAGUGUUGCAGGCGAAGGCUCAUCCUACACAUCGAUGGUGAUGCCAGUGUGGGUGUCAUCCAAAAACAACCCAACUGCUGAGAGACUUGUCUACGCUCUACUUGACACUCAAAGCGAUACAACAUUCAUCGACCAAGAAGUGAGUGACAGUCUAAAUGCUGACAAGUAUCCAGUGAAGUUGAAGCUGACGACCAUGAGUGGAAUGAACACGGUUCUCUCAAGUGAGAGUGUUUUCGGCCUCUGUGUAAGGGGAUACAGCUCUGCAAUUCAGUUUGAUCUCCCAGUUGCCUACUCAAAGGACUGCAUACCUGUAAACCGUGCUCAUAUUCCCACUUGUGAGACGGCUAAGCAAUGGAGUCACCUCAGAGAAAUAGCAGAAGAAAUCCAACCUCUGAAGGACUGUGAAAUAGGGCUCCUGAUAGGCUAUAACUGCUCUAGAGCCAUGGCACCAAGGCAGGUUAUUCUAGGAGGAGAUGAGGAACCUUAUGCUGUACGGACAGACUUAGGAUGGAGUAUUGUGGGGCGCUCAUCGCAAAGCUAUGAUCCGCCGAGCUCAAGUCGCCUGUGCCACAAAAUCUCCAUUAAAGUACUGCCUCCGGUAACUCCGGCCGACGCUAUUCGCAUUCUGGAAUCUGACUUCAAGGAUGAUAGUGAAGACAGCAAAACAGUGUCACAAGAUGACAUCACCUUCCUCAACAAGCUAAAUGAGGGCAUACAGAAAAACAAACAUGGCCAUUACCAAAUGCCUCUACCCUUCAAAAAAAGACCCAGUAUGCCUGACAACAAAAACUCAGUCAUGAUACGCCUCAACCACCUCAAAAGAAAACUGCAGCGGGAUGAAAAGUAUAAGGAGCAGUAUGUCAAGUUCAUGGAGGAGAUCAUCGAAAGGGGAGAUGCAGAGCAGAUCGAAGACGGUGGGAGUGAAGUUGAGAGAUGGUACAUUCCCCAUCAUGGUGUUCGGCACGCAAAGAAGCCAGAUAAGCUUCGUGUAGUGUUCGAUUGCUCUGCCAGACACAAAGGAACCAGCUUGAACGACCAUCUCCUCUCAGGGCCUGACUUGCUGAACAACUUGAGCGGUGUUCUUAUCCGCUUCCGACGUUACCCUGUUGCUUUGAUGUGUGACAUUGAAAAAAUGUUCCAUCAAUUCCAUGUGGAUGAGGCUGAUCGCAACUACCUGCGCUUUCUUUGGUGGAAGCAAGGAGACUUGAACUCACCGCCCAGUGAGUUCCGUAUGAAGGUGCAUCUGUUCGGUGCAGCCUCCUCCCCUGGAUGUGCAAACUUCGGGAUGAAGCAUCUAGCUAAGGAGAAUGGCGACCUCUACCCUAAAGGCUCACAGUUUAUCAUGAGGGAUUUCUAUGUUGAUGAUGGCCUCACCAGUGCUGGCAGCACCGAAGAAGCUGUUCAGCUUGCCAGAGAAGCUCGUGAACUCUGUGCCAUGGGUGGACUCCGAUUACACAAAUUUGUGUCAAAUGAGAGAAAUGUCCUAGAAAGUAUACCGCCCUCUGAAAGAGCAAUCAAUGUGACGAAUAUGGACCUCACGUUCGAUGAACUGCCGCUUGAGAGAGCCCUGGGGAUUCAAUGGGAUGUGGAGUCCGACCAUUUUCGUCUCAGUGUCAGCCUCAAGGAUCAGCCGGCAACACGUCGCGGCAUUCUUUCUACAGUUGCCUCCUUGUAUGAUCCUCUCGGGUUCGUGGCGCCAGUUCUGCUCAAAGCGAAGAUCAUUCUUCAGGAGAUGUGUAGGCGAGGCACAGGCUGGGACGAUCCUCUCCCUGACGAGCUCCGUCCAAAAUGGGAAAAAUGGAGAGAUGAUCUAGCUCAGUUGGAUAAUGUCACUAUACCCCGCACUUACUCACCAGCUGGAUUUGGGAAGGUUUUGAAGACACAGCUGCAUCAUUUCUCAGAUGCUAGCUUGAAGGGUUAUGGUCAGUGUUCAUACUUGAGACUACAAAAUGAGGAGGGAGACGUUCACUGUGCCUUAGUUGUAGGAAAAUCACGCGUCUCGCCAUCAAAAGUUACAACUGUUCCAAGAUUGGAACUGACGGCUGCAGUUGUCUCUGUGAAGAUGAGCAACAUGCUCAAGGAGGAAUUUGGAUCAGCUGACACUGAGGAGGUCUUCUGGACCGAUUCUAAGGUGGUCUUGGGAUACAUAAAAAACGAAGCACGACGAUUCCACACCUUUGUGGCUAACCGUGUUCAGAAGAUUCACCUCAGCUCAGACCCUCAACAAUGGAGAUAUGUUCCAACCAAUGAGAAUCCUGCUGACCAUGCUUCCAGGAGCUUGACUCCCAGCGAGCUUUUGUCAUCCACCUGGUUCACUGGACCCAAGUUCUUGUGGCACAAGGAAAUGAAGCCGCCGGCAGAUGAAAUUCCAGAGUUAAUAAUUGGAGACCCAGAGGUCAGAAGUGCUUUGGUACUUAACACAAGAACUACAGAGCAAGCGAGCCUUGUUGAUCGUUUAUCUAAGUUCUCAUCUUGGUCACUGGCUAUUCGAGCUGUUGCACGCCUUUUAAGGCGCAUCAGAAAGAACAGAUCAAACAACCUCACCACUGUAACAGAACGAGAAGAUGCAGAACAUUGCAUAAUCAAAGACCUGCAGAAAAACGUGUACCAAGAAGAGUUGAAACUGCUGAGCAAAGGGGUCCCCCUACCCUCUCACAAUUCACUACACUCUCUUGAUGCCUUCCUCGAUAAAGAUGGUGUCUUCAGGGUGGGAGGAAGGCUGUGCAACUCUUCUCUUCCCAACUCCAUCAAGCACCCUGCAAUCAUUCCCAAAGAUCAUCACAUUACAAAAAUGAUCAUUGCUCAUCACCAUGAAAGAAUCGAACAUCAAGGUAAAGGCCUCACCCUCAAUGAGAUCAGGUCCCACGGCUACUGGAUUCCAGGAAUCAACAGGGCAGUAGCAUCGCACAUUCGUCAAUGCGUCACCUGUAGACGGCACCGGAAACCAACGGAAGAGCAAAGGAUGGCUGAUCUACCCCCCGAACGCGUGGAACCAUCACCCCCCUUCACCUUCUGUGGAAUGGACUGCUUUGGUCCAUUCCUCACGAAGCAAGGAAGAAAGGAGAACAAGAGGUAUGGUCUACUUUUCACUUGCUUUAGCUCCCGUGCCAUUCAUAUUGAGAUGCUUGAUGGCAUGUCCACAGACGCCCUCAUCAAUGGCCUCCGAUGCUUCAUUGCUAUGCGUGGUGCUGUUCGUCAGAUCAAGUCCGAUCAAGGUAGCAACUUCGUUGGAGCCAAAAACGAACUUAAGGAAGCUCUAAAGGAAGUUGAUGCAGACCGGCUGGCUGUAUUCCUUGCUGAAAAACAAUGUGACUUUUGCAUGAAUGCACCUUAUUCAAGCCAUGUCGGAGGUGUUUGGGAGAGACAGAUUAGGACGGUGAGAAGCGUUCUAAGGUCCACGCUUGCUCUUUCCUCUGGAAGGCUAAAUGAUGCUUCACUGCGGGCUUUUCUCUAUGAAGCUAUGGCAAUCGUCAACAGUCGACCACUGACUGUUGACAACCUCAGUGAUCCUCAUAGUCUUGAGCCACUCACACCUAAUCAUCUUCUGACUAUGAAAACUGUUAGGGCCUUACCACCUCCAGGCGAGUUCGUCAGAGAGGACAUGUAUGGCAAGAAAAGGUGGCGACAUGUUCAAUACCUGGCAGAACAGUUUUGGAGUCGAUGGCGAAAGGAAUACCUGGCCAACAUCUCUCUCAGACAACGUUGGCAUGCACCGAAGAGAAAUCUUCAAGUUGGAGAUAUCGUAAUGAUGAAAGGAGAGGAUGCACACAGGAACGAGUGGAGAUUAGGUAGAGUUUUAGAAACUACUAUUGACAAAGACGGACUAGUAAGGAGAGUUAAGAUCUGCCUCGGUGACAGGAAUCUUGGCAAGAAAGGAGAGCGUCUCCAUAAGAUGUCUGAAGUCGAGCGCCCUGUCCAAAGGCUAGUCCUGCUAUUGGAGACUAAUUAAACUUGUUCUCUCUUUACAUAAUUUGUUUUUUUUUGCACUUUCAUGAGGAAGGUCAUUUUUUUUGUUAGAAAAUCAUUCGUGUUUAAUGUUAACUGUAUACUGUUCCAUUAGGGACUCAUGAUUGGUGGGAGUGUAAAUAAUUCUUAUGAAGGUCUGUUAAAAUAACCACUUUCUCCAUGCUUUUAUUUUGAUACUGUAUUUUGCCGUCAUGGGUCUUUUAUUUUGACGCAGGAAGUUUGAAUCUACAGUAGGUAACUUGACUUGAAGGAGAUCGCGCGAAAAGGUUAUUACGUGUAAUUACGGAAGGAAUUCAGGCUACAAACGGUUGCUCUGCAUAACAAUUUGUAGUAAUUAAUAAGUGCCUAGCUGGAAUGGGAACAAGCUCUUACGGUGUUUAUGAAGAAAGAUGUGAAGAAAGGAAUAUUUAUGCUCAAAACAAGGCUGACGGCUGAACGUAAAUAAAGGCUUCUGAAACAUC